AAAUAAGAAACAAUUUAUGUAUUUAGUUUCGACCUAAAAAUUAGGCUUUAUUGCCCUUAUUU
rnacentral:tRNA from 1 species